UUUCACCGGUGCUCAACGUCAUCUGAGCACCGGUCAAGACGAAAUAGCCAAUAAAAAUUCAGGGAAAUUGAUGGAUAGGGAACUGGCAUAGGCUUUUGGGAUUUGCGGCAACUCUCGUUGGUUUUACGGGGUGCAUGAACAGAAACGUUGCUUUAAUAUUUAUGGCAAAAGAAAAGCCUGGUCAAAGAAAUGAUAGAGAAGGGACAUUGAGGAUGUUUUCGAGUUUUAUUGGGAUGACAAUAGCGCCGACUCGUUCACUGAUUCACAGCUCUUCUCCGGAAGUGUAGCAAAGCUACGGCCUAAGAUACCUAUCUAUCAGCAGUGAAUGUACUCAGCUUAUCUCCUACGCCGUAUUCAUUUGCAACGAUAACAUUUGGAUGGGCAUCAAGUAGGGAACCAAGUAAAGUGCUUCCACUUCUAGAGUAGCCAAUGAACAAGACAAAAAACUUCACUUGGCUGUAUCUGUCUCCAUCAUCAACACAUUUUGAUUGUUCACCUGGAACUAAACAACAAUGCUGGAAAAAAGUGUACAGAAGAGCAUUUGAACCCAACUUGAACAAAUGGAGGACAAUUCCGUUUGCUCCACAGGUUCUUGAGGUAAGUGAACAUAUUUAUUGGUUGAGUUCUUCAACUAAUUAGCAUACUGUACAGAGUGACUUUAUGACAUAUAUUAUUAAAAACUUUAGUUCGACGAAACGUGAUAUAUUCUAGAUCUCUAUGACCUUAACUCAUACAGGAUAUUUUUACAAAGCCACUUAGAGUGACUAUCAAAAUAGUUCAUUUUAACACUGAAUGGCCGAUAGAUUUUCCUAAACCAUUGACAAAGAUUCUUGGUGUGAACAAGAAACUAAAUUGGCAAAUAGCACUUUCCCUUUGACAAAAAUUAUAAGAUCCUUAAUUUCUGUAAAUUUUCCUACUCCAAACACAUAUUAUUUGUCAAUCAGAUUACUGAAGUGGGCAACGACCUGCCCCCACAUGCUAAUAAGGCUAUACCAGUUCUAAUAAGGUUAUAUUAUUCUGCUUAUUUAAUGAUUGAUUUUCCAUCGUAUCUCUUUGGAUCAUCCAUAUCCAAAACUUUAUUUGCUGACUCAACUGGCAAUGCUUUUUUUGCCGAACUUUCAAAA